AUUGAACGCUGGCGGCAGGCCUAACACAUGCAAGUCGAGCGGAUGAAGGGAGCUUGCUCCUGGAUUCAGCGGCGGACGGGUGAGUAAUGCCUAGGAAUCUGCCUGGUAGUGGGGGAUAACGUCCGGAAACGGGCGCUAAUACCGCAUACGUCCUGAGGGAGCAAGUGGGGGAUCUUCGGACCUCACGCUAUCAGAUGAGCCUAGGUCGGAUUAGCUAGUUGGUGGGGUAAAGGCCUACCAAGGCGACGAUCCGUAACUGGUCUGAGAGGAUGAUCAGUCACACUGGAACUGAGACACGGUCCAGACUCCUACGGGAGGCAGCAGCGGGGAAUAUUGGACAAUGGGCGAAAGCCUGAUCCAGCCAUGCCGCGUGUGUGAAGAAGGUCUUCGGAUUGUAAAGCACUUUAAGUUGGGAGGAAGGGCAGUAAGUUAAUACCUUGCUGUUUUGACGUUACCAACAGAAUAAGCACCGGCUAACUUCGUG
rnacentral:rRNA from 1 species